GCUGGGUGUGGUGGCGCAUGCCUGUAAUCCCAGCUACUUGGGAGGCUGAGGCAGGAGAAUCGCUUGAACCUGGGAGGCAGAGGUUGUAGUGAGCUAAGAUUGUGCCACUGCACUGUAGCCUGGGCAACACAGCGAGACUCUGUCUCAA
rnacentral:SRP_RNA from 1 species